rnacentral:tRNA from 1 species
AAUAGUGUAAUAGAUUUAGGAUCUAUAAAAGUGCGUAUGCACAUUUAGUAAUUUUAACAAUUCAC